CAGCGGCGACCCGCGAAGAAGAAAAACAGAAAAACCCACCCAUCCCACCGUACGACCCACUCCUGACUGCCCCCAAUCCCACUUCUCUGGCUAGAUCCAGGCGCCGCCCCGGCCCCCACCUUCUCCCUGGCAGGAUCCCGGCGCUGCCCAGCCUGCCACCUUCCCCCUGCUGGAUCCCGGUGCCGCCCCGCCCCCACCCUCUUCCUGGCUAGAGCCGAGCGCCGCCCCGCCGCCACCUUCUCCCGGCUGAAGCCCGACGUCGCCCCGACCGCACCUUCUCCCCGGCUGGAGCCCGCCGCCGCCCCUCCCCCACCUUCUCCUCGGCUGGUUCCCAGCGCCGCCCCUCCCCCACCUUCUCCUCGGCUGGUUCUCGGCGCCGACCCCUGCUUCCACGGUUUCACCCGCCACCGCCGCCCUCUGCUUCCAGCCGCCUGCACCGCUGCCCCUCCGCCUUCUUCCGCUGGCGGACCAACCCCGCCGCCGUGCCACACGGUCAAGGUCACGUGGGAGAUGCCGUCCCUAGCCCAGCUGAUGUGGCCCGGCACGCUGACCACCGCGGUGUCCCUGCACCCUGACCACCGCUGAUGUCCAACGCCACGGUGCCUCCCAUGGCGGCCGUUCACUGCCGCCACCCCGGGCCGUUCAACAAUACAACGCCGAGCCGUUCAACGCCGCAGCUCUACCACCAUUCGCAACUCCAACUUCCAUUAUGUGGUUCUGGAGGUUCAGUUUUUUCAGUGUAUGUUUUGUAUACCUUAGAGUUCACCUACUUGACGAAUGCAUGUCCAGUUUCCUCUCUAUUUCCCCCAUGUCAAUUGCCGAAAUAUUGCCGGCCAGUAUAUUUACUUAUUACCAUAAACCUUUAUGCAUCACUUUCAAGCCCUCACAGCAUUUUAUUUCUCUGGCAUAAUUUCCUUGCCGGCCAGCCACUGACCUGACAUGGUGCUCAGUGGACUUAUAUAUAUACAUGAACAUGAUUAUAUUUUUAACAUGUACUUAUAUCAGCUUUGUUGGAUUUUGUGUGUGUGCUUGUAGCACAAUUAGUUCAGGUCUCGAGAGACCAUAAGUUCAAGUUCACUAGUAUUUAUAAAUGUUGGUAGCAGUACUAGUAUUUCAAAUCUGUAACCUAAGAACUAAGCUUGCAUCUUGUUACUUCUAUGGAGGCACUGACCUCAUAAUUUUUUUGGACCAACCACUGACCUGACAUGGUGCUCAGUGUAUUCUCUCAAUCUUGGUUGUCUUGCCUCGUAUGAAAAAUAUUGUUAUAUUAUAUGGUGUUAAUUUACAACAGCUCAAGAUCAUUUACUUUAAUUAUUUCAUAAUUUUUUUGAACCAAAAACACGAAUAAAGGUGCAUCUUUUACAUCAGCUCAAGAUCGUUUAGUUCAAGUGAUUAUUGUUCUAUUUUGUUCAAUCAGUUCAACAUGUGUUAUGUCAUCAAUUCAUAAUGAGAAGGCAGGAAAAGUUCAAUACUUGUGUGUUAAAAACAUAACAGUAUAGAGAAACUAUUGUAGUAGUUCGAUGGAAUAAAUCACAUCAGUUCUGACUCGGAUCGGUUCUUGCCUAGAAUGCACUGAAAAAUCAAAAAAAUUGCCUUCGUUCAGGCUGGUGUUUAGUUGGUGGUUGUCUGGUACCUACACCGGCAUUUUCCAUCAAGACCUCCAGAAAAUUGAUAUCAUCUCAAGGUGAAAAAUAUGAAAUCCUUUUACUCCGGGCUCCAACGCACCACCGCUCCUCUGAUUCUGCUCCGGGCUCUGCCUGCGAUUCUUCCGCCGACGCCGAUGGUCAGCGCCCCCAAUCUCCCUUUUUUUCUCUCGAUCUCACUUCCUUGCUGCUCUGCAUGAAGCAAAACAAAAUGCAUCUCAUACCAUUUGCUAUAUAUGCGUACACCUUUGUAGUCUUUUUCAGUUCAAGUUUUGCUAGCAAAAAAAGAUUUGUCGCAAUUCAGUAUAAAAUAGUGAAAUCAGUUAGCUGAUUGGAAAUAAUUCAAGUAUAUGUGUGUGCACUGCAGUAGCAACUCGGUAGAAAAACAUUCAGCAGCUUGUUAAACAGAAAUAGAAGCACAUUUUGUGAAUUUUAUAUAAUGCAUCUGUUUUAGUUAUUAUAUGCAGGGCCAUGUUCGUGAAUUACAAGCAAUAGCAGCACUUGUAGAGUAGCUAAAAACGGAGGAACCCAAUGCAUAUGUCGUCUUCUUUGUUCUGUGAAUGGCUGGAGGGGCAGCUUCAGUUUCCAUGUGUUGUACAAAAGAUCCAGGACUGCGGGAGAAGAUUUGUUGUUGAAGAAGUGGAAUUUGUUGGGUGCAUGUGCAGAAAAAUCGUCAGUUCAAUUUUCAAAAUCCUGUAAGUUUGUUUUGAUUCUAUAAAUUUCUGUAAGUUUCUAGUGUGUGCUGCUACAGAUCUGAACUAUUUGUCCAGUCCUCCUAGUACUGAUUCAAUCGCCUAAAAUAUGUUCAAGAAAAAUCAGUAAGUUUGGUGCGUGUGCUGCUACAAAUCUAAACUUCUACUCCAGUCAAUCAAGUACUGAUGUCUCUUUAAGUCUGUAGCGGAGAGAAUAUUUGUGUGCUCAUUCGUUCAUAGUAUGAAGCUCAUUUAUAGUUUCUUUUCUCAUUCUUUUAAUUAAGAAAACGUUUAUUGACCUUGAAGCAUAAACCUCUCGGCAAUGUAGCAUUCUGCUGAUAUUUUAAUAGUCGGUAAGAUGUUGUAGCGGGACAAGGUCAUCAUCUCGAGGAGGUCAGUGAGGUCAGUGAUACCAUGCACGCUGAAAGUGUGCGAUGGAUAUUCUCUUCACAUUUUUUGUGUUUUGGAGUAAAUCGACAUAGAUUGUUGACACAUCAGCAUCUAAUUUUUUGCACUGGAUUUGGAGAUUUUGAUCAGUACUUGGUUGUGUGAUAUUUUUGAAACCAGGACGACCUCGACCUCCGUCUGCUUCUCAUUUCCAGCCGCAUCCAGGACGACCUCGACCUACUGCCACUAGCUGUUGGUGCACCUCAUGCUAGCUGCUAGCUAUUACCUAGUGUGCUUGAUUCUACCGCUACAAAGAAGUUCGACAGGGGCACGGGGUUCAGUUCAACGACGACGAGCCAGGCAGCCAGCCUUCGCAUCACGAACUGGUGCAGUUUGAUCUUGGGCGAAUUGGAAAUUUCUUGAUGUUGAGUGUGUCAGUACAACCCUACACUACAAGGCACGCGUACAUCAAAUUCACGUGUUAGUCAACCGUAUCGUGCAUUUGCUUGGCAGCUUUGCACUCUAGUUACAUAUCAAUUGCUAAAUAAAUAAAAAAUGUUAUUCACUUUUCUGUGUUUUGUUGAAUAAUUCUCAUGCUUUCUUUUGUGAGGACUACAAAUCAUAGUGCUUAAAAUACAGAUGUGUGCGUCAUACUUGAACUAAAAAAGUUACAGGAGAAAGUACCCCUAUUCCAUUAUUUUGAGAAGUACAGGUACACCUUUCUAAAUAGUACAGUGCAUGACCGGUGCUCGCCCCGCAUAAAUGGAGUCUUCAGCUCACCAUGCUACCUCCCGCCGGUGGGCCUCCGUUGCUGCAUCGCCCCGACCGUUCACUGCCACCAACCCAGGCCGUUCAACGAGGCAGCGCCAAGCCGUUCGACGUCGCAACUCAGGAGGCUGCCUCCUUUCCCUCCCUCCACUGCACUGAACCUAAAGUAGAAGAAAGCAAACAUCAGUCCAGCUGGUAGACGUGGAGGUGAUUUUUGUAUCUAGGCCGCGUUCGGCUCCUCUCCGCUCCCUCCACUCCGCUCCGGACCGGACGAGCCUCUAGCUCAUUUUUAUGGAGCGGCCUAAACUAAGCUCCACAACUCCGCGGAGUCGGAGCGGAUGGGAUGGAUUCCGAACACGGCCCUAAAAUCAUAUGUGCUUUUCUCUCCAAUUGAUUGUUUGUGUUGAAGGAAGCGAGGAGAAGCUACAGCAUGAAAUUGUGUAUGAUCGUGGAGCUGUGUAUGUGUAUGUAAUGUCUGCAACACGUGUAUGAACAGGAAGGAAAAUGAUGUAUGUUGAUUGAUGAAAGUUCAAUGUAAAAUAAUAUUUCACA